rnacentral:ncRNA from 1 species
UUUGGGGCGACCCAUGCAGUGAAGGAAACCAAACGGCAAAAGUCUGUACCGAGGAACACAAAGCGCAUAAGAGGCUAGCUAAAUUGGGUAAGCAUGCACAGCAAUGCAAAGCCUUUAGACAACAGGUUUAGUUAGUAGAUGCGUCGGGGAUAGACGGAAAGAGGAAGUGCU